GUGCCAGCCGCCGCAGUAAUACCGGCAGCUCGAGUGAUGGCCACUCUUAUUGGGCCUAAAGCGUCCGUAGCUGGCCGCGCAAGUCCGUCGGGAAAUCCAUCAGCCCAACUGAUGGGCGUCCGGCGGAAACUGCACGGCUUGGGACCGGAAGGCUCGAGAGGUACGUCCGGGGUAGGAGUGAAAUCCCGUAAUCCUGGACGGACCACCGGUGGCGAAAGCGCCUCGAGAGGACGGACCCGACGGUGAGGAACGAAAGCCAGGGUCUCGAACCGGAUUAGAAACCCUUGUAGUCC
rnacentral:rRNA from 1 species